GCGGAAAUAACUCAGUGGCAGAGUAUCAGCCUUCCACGUUGAAAACACGGGUUCGAACCCCGUUUUCCGCU
rnacentral:tRNA from 2 species